GGGUUGUGAGGUUAAGCGACUAAGCGUACACGGUGGAUGCCCUGGCAGUCAGAGGCGAUGAAGGACGUGCUAAUCUGCGAUAAGCGUCGGUAAGGUGAUAUGAACCGUUAUAACCGGCGAUUUCCGAAUGGGGAAACCCAGUGUGUUUCGUCACACUAUCAUUAACUGAAUCCAUAGGUUAAUGAGGCGAACCGGGGGAACUGAAACAUCUAAGUACCCCGAGGAAAAGAAAUCAACCGAGAUUCCCCCAGUAGCGGCGAGCGAACGGGGAGCAGCCCAGAGCCUGAAUCAGUAUGUGUGUUAGUGGAAGCGUCUGGAAAGGCGCGCGAUACAGGGUGACAGCCCCGUACACAAAAAUGCACAUGCUGUGAGCUCGAUGAGUAGGGCGGGACACGUGGUAUCCUGUCUGAAUAUGGGGGGACCAUCCUCCAAGGCUAAAUACUCCUGACUGACCGAUAGUGAACCAGUACCGUGAGGGAAAGGCGAAAAGAACCCCGGCGAGGGGAGUGAAAAAGAACCUGAAACCGUGUACGUACAAGCAGUGGGAGCACGCUUAGGCGUGUGACUGCGUACCUUUUGUAUAAUGGGUCAGCGACUUAUAUUCUGUAGCAAGGUUAACCGAAUAGGGGAGCCGAAGGGAAACCGAGUCUUAACUGGGCGUUAAGUUGCAGGGUAUAGACCCGAAACCCGGUGAUCUAGCCAUGGGCAGGUUGAAGGUUGGGUAACACUAACUGGAGGACCGAACCGACUAAUGUUGAAAAAUUAGCGGAUGACUUGUGGCUGGGGGUGAAAGGCCAAUCAAACCGGGAGAUAGCUGGUUCUCCCCGAAAGCUAUUUAGGUAGCGCCUCGUGAAUUCAUCUCCGGGGGUAGAGCACUGUUUCGGCAAGGGGGUCAUCCCGACUUACCAACCCGAUGCAAACUGCGAAUACCGGAGAAUGUUAUCACGGGAGACACACGGCGGGUGCUAACGUCCGUCGUGAAGAGGGAAACAACCCAGACCGCCAGCUAAGGUCCCAAAGUCAUGGUUAAGUGGGAAACGAUGUGGGAAGGCCCAGACAGCCAGGAUGUUGGCUUAGAAGCAGCCAUCAUUUAAAGAAAGCGUAAUAGCUCACUGGUCGAGUCGGCCUGCGCGGAAGAUGUAACGGGGCUAAACCAUGCACCGAAGCUGCGGCAGCGACGCUGAUGCGUUGUUGGGUAGGGGAGCGUUCUGUAAGCCUGUGAAGGUGUGCUGUGAGGCAUGCUGGAGGUAUCAGAAGUGCGAAUGCUGACAUAAGUAACGAUAAAGCGGGUGAAAAGCCCGCUCGCCGGAAGACCAAGGGUUCCUGUCCAACGUUAAUCGGGGCAGGGUGAGUCGACCCCUAAGGCGAGGCCGAAAGGCGUAGUCGAUGGGAAACAGGUUAAUAUUCCUGUACUUGGUGUUACUGCGAAGGGGGGACGGAGAAGGCUAUGUUGGCCGGGCGACGGUUGUCCCGGUUUAAGCGUGUAGGCUGGUUUUCCAGGCAAAUCCGGAAAACUAAGGCUGAGGCGUGAUGACGAGGCACUACGGUGCUGAAGCAACAAAUGCCCUGCUUCCAGGAAAAGCCUCUAAGCAUCAGGUAACAUCAAAUCGUACCCCAAACCGACACAGGUGGUCAGGUAGAGAAUACCAAGGCGCUUGAGAGAACUCGGGUGAAGGAACUAGGCAAAAUGGUGCCGUAACUUCGGGAGAAGGCACGCUGAUAUGUAGGUGAAGUCCCUCGCGGAUGGAGCUGAAAUCAGUCGAAGAUACCAGCUGGCUGCAACUGUUUAUUAAAAACACAGCACUGUGCAAACACGAAAGUGGACGUAUACGGUGUGACGCCUGCCCGGUGCCGGAAGGUUAAUUGAUGGGGUCAGCGCAAGCGAAGCUCUUGAUCGAAGCCCCGGUAAACGGCGGCCGUAACUAUAACGGUCCUAAGGUAGCGAAAUUCCUUGUCGGGUAAGUUCCGACCUGCACGAAUGGCGUAAUGAUGGCCAGGCUGUCUCCACCCGAGACUCAGUGAAAUUGAACUCGCUGUGAAGAUGCAGUGUACCCGCGGCAAGACGGAAAGACCCCGUGAACCUUUACUAUAGCUUGACACUGAACAUUGAGCCUUGAUGUGUAGGAUAGGUGGGAGGCUUUGAAGUGUGGACGCCAGUCUGCAUGGAGCCGACCUUGAAAUACCACCCUUUAAUGUUUGAUGUUCUAACGUUGACCCGUAAUCCGGGUUGCGGACAGUGUCUGGUGGGUAGUUUGACUGGGGCGGUCUCCUCCUAAAGAGUAACGGAGGAGCACGAAGGUUGGCUAAUCCUGGUCGGACAUCAGGAGGUUAGUGCAAUGGCAUAAGCCAGCUUGACUGCAAGCGUGACGGCGCGAGCAGGUGCGAAAGCAGGUCAUAGUGAUCCGGUGGUUCUGAAUGGAAGGGCCAUCGCUCAACGGAUAAAAGGUACUCCGGGGAUAACAGGCUGAUACCGCCCAAGAGUUCAUAUCGACGGCGGUGUUUGGCACCUCGAUGUCGGCUCAUCACAUCCUGGGGCUGAAGUAGGUCCCAAGGGUAUGGCUGUUCGCCAUUUAAAGUGGUACGCGAGCUGGGUUUAGAACGUCGUGAGACAGUUCGGUCCCUAUCUGCCGUGGGCGCUGGAGAACUGAGGGGGGCUGCUCCUAGUACGAGAGGACCGGAGUGGACGCAUCACUGGUGUUCGGGUUGUCAUGCCAAUGGCACUGCCCGGUAGCUAAAUGCGGAAGAGAUAAGUGCUGAAAGCAUCUAAGCACGAAACUUGCCCCGAGAUGAGUUCUCCCUGACUCCUUGAGAGUCCUGAAGGAACGUUGAAGACGACGACGUUGAUAGGCCGGGUGUGUAAGCGCAGCGAUGCGUUGAGCUAACCGGU
rnacentral:rRNA from 1 species